UACGAAGGGGGCUAGCGUUGCUCGGAAUUACUGGGCGUAAAGGGCGCGUAGGCGGACAGUUUAGUCAGAGGUGAAAGCCCAGGGCUCAACCUUGGAAUUGCCUUUGAUACUGACUGUCUUGAGUGCGGGAGAGGUGUGUGGAACUCCGAGUGUAGAGGUGAAAUUCGUAGAUAUUCGGAAGAACACCAGUGGCGAAGGCGACACACUGGCCCGUAACUGACGCUGAGGCGCGAAAGCGUGGGGAGCAAACAGG
rnacentral:rRNA from 1 species